AGCCCUGAGGUGUUUGUCAUGUAAGAUUGCAAAUCUUAAGGAGCAGAUUAGACGUCUGCCGGGGCUU
rnacentral:tRNA from 1 species